GAUGAACGCUGGCGGCGUGCCUAAUACAUGCAAGUCGAGCGAACGGACGAGAAGCUUGCUUUUCUGAUGUUAGCGGCGGACGGGUGAGUAACACGUGGAUAACCUACCUAUAAGACUGGGAUAACUUCGGGAAACCGGAGCUAAUACCGGAUAAUAUUUUGAACCGCAUGGUUCAAAAGUGAAAGACGGUCUUGCUGUCACUUAUAGAUGGAUCCGCGCUGCAUUAGCUAGUUGGUAAGGUAACGGCUUACCAAGGCAACGAUGCAUAGCCGACCUGAGAGGGUGAUCGGCCACACUGGAACUGAGACACGGUCCAGACUCCUACGGGAGGCAGCAGUAGGGAAUCCUCCGCAAUGGGCGAAAGCCUGACGGAGCAACGCCGCGUGAGUGAUGAAGGUCUUCGGAUCGUAAAACUCUGUUAUUAGGGAAGAACAUAUGUGUAAGUAACUGUGCACAUCUUGACGGUACCUAAUCAGAAAGCCACGGCUAACUACGU
rnacentral:rRNA from 1 species